CUGAAAUGUGUCAUAGUUACAUAAAUACCUAUGGGGCAAAAUACCCACAAAUGGGCAACAUGCCUAUAGCUGUCUAAAUAUAGGGUAAAAAACCUGUGAUGUUAGAAUAUGAGAUUAGAAUGUUUCAUAGUUAUAUGAAUACCUAUGGGGCAAAAUACCCACAAAUGGACAACGUGCCCAUAACUGUCUAAAUAUAGGGUAAAAAACCCACGAUGUUAGAAUAUGGGAUUAGAAUGUUUCAUAGUUAUAUGAAUACCUAUGGG